GGAUGAACUGUGGAUAGCGGAGAAAUUCCAAUCGAACUCGGAGAUAGCUGGUUCUCCUCGAAAUAGUUUUAGGACUAGCCUUGUUUAGUAGUAUGUGGGGGUAGAGCACUGAAUGAGCUAGGGGCCAAACCAGGUUACUGAACUCUAUCAAACUCCGAAUACCAUGUACGUAAGAACAGGAGUCAGACUGCGGGAGCUAAGUUCCGUGGUCAAAAGGGAAAGAGCCCAGAUCGUCAAUUAAGGUCCCAAAGAUAUAGUUAAGUGGAAAACGAUGUGAUUUUGCGUAAACAACCAGGAUGUUGGCUUAGAAGCAGCCAUUCAUUUAAAGAGUGCGUAAUAGCUCACUGGUCGAGUGGAGUUGCGCGGAAAAUUACCGGGGCUAAACUAUACACCGAAAUUGCGGAUUCAUGAGUAAUCAUGAGUGGUAGAGGAGCAUUCUAUAGUAGGACGAAGGUAGAUCGAAAGGACUGCUGGACGAGAUAGAAGAGAGAAUGCCGGAAUAAGUAGCGAAAGCAUGGUGAGAAUCCAUGCCAUCGAAAGUCUAAGGUUUCCUGGGGAAGGUUCGUCCGCCCAGGGUAAGUCGGGACCUAAGGAGAGGCCGAAAGGCGUAUCUGAUGGACAGCAGGUAGAAAUUCCUGCACCACCGAUAUACUUAAAAAAUGCAAGGGACACAGUAGUGGAAGGAAAGCGAGGAAGAGGAAAGACUCGUAUCGAAAGAUAUAGUGAAAAAAUAAGUAACGAAUUUCCAAGAAGCACACUGGCGAGAAAAGCUUGUAGGAAUUGUAUAAAGGUGCCCGUACCGCAAACCGACACAGGUAGAUGAGGAGAGGAUCCUAAGAUGAGCGAGAGAAGCAUUGUUAAGGAACUCGGCAAAUUGACCCCGUAACUUAGGGAGAAGGGGUGCCAAAGUAAAAUUUGGUCGCAGAGAAGAGGCCCAAGCAACUGUUUAACAAAAACACAGGUUUCUGCUAAAUCGAAAGAUGAAGUAUAGGAGCUGACGCCUGCCCAGUGCUGGAAGGUUAAGGGGAAGAGUUAGAUGUAAGUCGAAGCUUAGAACCAAAGCCCCAGUGAACGGCGGCCGUAACUAUAACGGUCCUAAGGUAGCGAAAUUCCUUGUCAGGUAAGUUCUGACCCGCACGAAAGGCGUAAUGAUUUGGGCGCUGUCUCGACAAUGUACUCGGCGAAAUUGUAGUACUAGUGAAGAUGCUAGUUACCUGCGACAAGACAGAAAGACCCCAUGGAGCUUUACUGUAGCUUGAUACUGGGUUUCGAUAAUUUAUGUACAGGAUAGGUGGGAGGCGAAGAAGCAAUUGCGCCAGCAGUUGUGGAGUCAUCCUUGGGAUACCACCCUUAAGUUAUUGAAAUUCUAACCUGUAGUCCUGAGCGGGCUAGGGGACAAUGUCAGGCGGGCAGUUUGACUGGGGCGGUCGCCUCCAAAAGAGUAACGGAGGCGCGCAAAGGUUUCCUCAGCGCGGACAGAAAUCGCGCGAAAGAGUGCAAAGGCAGAAGGAAGCUUAACUGAGAGACUGACAAGUCGACCAGAUACGAAAGUAGGUCUUAGUGAUCCGGCGGUAGUGAGUGGAAAUGCCGUCGCUCAACGGACAAAAGUUACCCUGGGGAUAACAGGCUUAUCUCCCCCAAGAGUUCACAUCGACGGGGAGGUU
rnacentral:rRNA from 1 species